rnacentral:rRNA from 1 species
AACGAGAGCACAUAAAUGCAGUCGACGAUGAACUCUAGCUUGCUAGAGAUGAUUAGUGGCGGACGGGUGAGUAACAUUUAGGAAUCUGCCUAGUAGUGGGGGAUAGCUCGGGGAAACUCGAAUUAAUACCGCAUACGACCUACGGGUGAAAGGGGGCGCAAGCUCUUGCUAUUAGAUGAGCCUAAAUCAGAUUAGCUAGUUGGUGGGGUAAAGGCCCACCAAGGCGACGAUCUGUAACUGGUCUGAGAGGAUGAUCAGUCACACCGGAACUGAGACACGGUCCGGACUCCUACGGGAGGCAGCAGUGGGGAAUAUUGGACAAUGGGGGCAACCCUGAUCCAGCCAUGCCGCGUGUGUGAAGAAGGCCUUUUGGUUGUAAAGCACUUUAAGCAGGGAAGAGAGGCUAAUGGUUAAUACCCAUUAGAUUAGACGUUACCUGCAGAAUAAGCACCGGCUAACUCUGUGCCAGCAGCCGCGGUAAUACAGAGGGUGCGAGCGUUAAUCGGAAUUACUGGGCGUAAAGCGAGUGUAGGUGGCUCAUUAAGUCACAUGUGAAAUCCCCGGGCUUAACCUGGGAACUGCAUGUGAUACUGGUGGUGCUAGAAUAUGUGAGAGGGAAGUAGAAUUCCAGGUGUAGCGGUGAAAUGCGUAGAGAUCUGGAGGAAUACCGAUGGCGAAGGCAGCUUCCUGGCAUAAUAUUGACACUGAGAUUCGAAAGCGUGGGUAGCAAACAGGAUUAGAUACCCUGGUAGUCCACGCCGUAAACGAUGUCUACUAGCCGUUGGGGUCCUUGAGACUUUAGUGGCGCAGUUAACGCGAUAAGUAGACCGCCUGGGGAGUACGGCCG